GGAGAGGUGGCAGAGUGGUCGAAUGCGCCUGACUUGAAAUCAGGUGAACUGAAAGGUUCCGGGGGUUCGAAUCCCCCCCUCUCCG
rnacentral:tRNA from 2 species